GAUGAACGCUGGCGGCGUGCCUAAUACAUGCAAGUCGAGCGAACGGACGAGAAGCUUGCUUCUCUGAUGUUAGCGGCGGACGGGUGAGUAACACGUGGAUAACCUACCUAAGACUGGGAUAACUUCGGGAAACCGGAGCUAAUACCGGAUAAUAUUUUGAACCGCAUGGUUCAAAAGUGAAAGACGGUCUUGCUGUCACUUAUAGAUGGAUCCGCGCUGCAUUAGCUAGUUGGUAAGGUAACGGCUUACCAAGGCAACGAUGCAUAGCCGACCUGAGAGGGUGAUCGGCCACACUGGAACUGAGACACGGUCCAGACUCCUACGGGAGGCAGCAGUAGGGAAUCUUCCGCAAUAGGCGAAAGCCUGACGGAGCAACGCCGCGUGAGUGAUGAAGGUCUUCGGAUCGUAAAACUCUGUUAUUAGGGAAGAACAUAUGUGUAAGUAACUGUGCACAUCUUGACGGUACCUAAUCAGAAAGCCACGGCUAACUACGUG
rnacentral:rRNA from 1 species